AAUUUGAAAAAGGAAUGCUCCCGUUUUUCGCCGUUAAAUGUUGCAGCCUAAUUUUGGAUCGAGAAUUAAGUGCUACGAAGAUGGCCGUUAAUAAUAGUUCUACUACUUUAAGAACACGAUUAAGAUUCGGAUAACGACUUCGAAGGCAUUCGCAGGAGACCAAACAGAGAAAGAGAGGGAGACACAAAACCACCUGUCUCGGUGUCACACAUGAGGAGUUGAGGAGGAGAUGAAGUCAGUGAAUAUGACCUGGCCUGGGGGAGUUUCCAGAAGAAGGCCCAGAAUCGCUGGAUGCCAGGAGUGGAGAUCCUUCGUUGCUGCCCUACAUGAUAGGAGGCAUCGGGCAGUAGAUGCUGUAAUUUGAAACGGAAGGUGUCCUGCCAAUAAAUUUUCAUCCCACCUGAACUGCCUUGCCUGCCUGCACCCAGUCAUCUGUUCCUGAGCAUUUUCAUUUUCCUCUAUUUUUCAUCAUCGUUUGUUUCGGCCUGUAUGAAGUGAAUUUCACAUUGAUUGGUGGAGCUGCUAAGUUGGCAUUACAGGGCCACGCCGGGGUAUGAUCCUUUGGGUUGAACAUCAUGACUGCUAGUUGGUCGGCAAAGAUGAUGGGAUCGAUCAAUGUCACAUGGAGUAAGAUCGAUACCAAUCUGCUUUGCUACAUUUCGAACAAUCUCAUACGGAUACGGAUAUUAUUGCGACAGGAGUACUGCUCGAUGUGGUCAAGCCUAUUUGACAAAGCAUUAUGGUGUUAGUCAUGUUAUCAGAAACCGAUUUUUCAAAAUCACGGAGUUGCUUCAAUUUAGUAUCGAUAGAUAUUUCAAGAACGUGUAGACUAGUGAGCUUUUCAUCAAGAAUUUCACGCAAUUUAUUUUCGCGCUUAUCCAUGUCAUCAUUGAGUUUUUGUCUCUCGCGUUCCAUUGCCACGGCCACCGCUCUUUGAACGACUGUAUCAAUAUGAUCUAGAUAUGCUGGGCUUUGUUUAGAUCCAGUUAAUGAUGAAGCAGAGGAUUGUGUACAUGCGUUAGCCGAGUGCAAGCGGCCUCUUGAUCUGGUGGAUAUCUUAGACAUGUUAGAGAUUACGUAAUGAUAUAAUUGAAAAGUGGGAUGGGCUGUGCAUCUGCCAACUCACCAGUCAACCAAUUAGAGACGGCCUUCCAAAGUGACACAGCACGAAAAUAUCAAUAUGGGACUGGUCUAGUCAACACAUAGAUCCUGAAAAAACCAUGGAGACCGCAGACGCAAAAUGACUUCCAUACAUAAAGAUAUGAUGCACAAUCUCCAGUGGGUUCAAAACACUGAACACAUGCUAUGCUGAUACACAGACUAUCAUAAGAACUUUAUCAAGCAAAGGAAAUCUGGUAUGAAAUCUCUCAGCUCACAUAAAAAGCCUACGUAGCUACAUGUAGGGAAGAAAAUGCGUAAUUGCUGAGAAAUGAGCAAAAUAAGCAUGUAAUUCUAUCAAAUGUCAGGUAUUUUUCGAAUCGAUUAUAAUACACUGUCCCACAUAUGCUUUUCUGUGUUUACAGCGAUCAUCAGAAUUAUCGAUUUUAAGUUAAAAUUCAUGAUUUUACAAAGAUACAAGUUUACAUUAAUGUACCAGAUGUAGAUUAUGUACAAUAUAUUGACAAUUAACUUUGAUUUUAUAGAUUUUCUCAAGAAAUAAUUGUUUGCUGCAACUACUGUCUUUUCCUUCUAAGUGAUAGUGUAAUACAACAGUUCCACAAACUAUUUUCAUCAGACUUAUUGAUGCAUGAUUCUUUCACCCAAAUGCAAGCUUCCAUAAAUCCUGAAAACUUUGCAACUCAGGUAUUUUUUUUUUUA